GGGACACGUGGUAUCCUGUCUGAAUAUGGGGGGACCAUCCUCCAAGGCUAAAUACUCCUGACUGACCGAUAGUGAACCAGUACCGUGAGGGAAAGGCGAAAAGAACCCCGGCGAGGGGAGUGAAAAAGAACCUGAAACCGUGUACGUACAAGCAGUGGGAGCCUCUUAAUGGGGUGACUGCGUACCUUUUGUAUAAUGGGUCAGCGACUUAUAUUCUGUAGCAAGGUUAACCGAAUAGGGGAGCCGAAGGGAAACCGAGUCUUAACUGGGCGUUAAGUUGCAGGGUAUAGACCCGAAACCCGGUGAUCUAGCCAUGGGCAGGUUGAAGGUUGGGUAACACUAACUGGAGGACCGAACCGACUAAUGUUGAAAAAUUAGCGGAUGACUUGUGGCUGGGGGUGAAAGGCCAAUCAAACCGGGAGAUAGCUGGUUCUCCCCGAAAGCUAUUUAGGUAGCGCCUCGUGAAUUCAUCUCCGGGGGUAGAGCACUGUUUCGGCAAGGGGGUCAUCCCGACUUACCAACCCGAUGCAAACUGCGAAUACCGGAGAAUGUUAUCACGGGAGACACACGGCGGGUGCUAACGUCCGUCGUGAAGAGGGAAACAACCCAGACCGCCAGCUAAGGUCCCAAAGUCAUGGUUAAGUGGGAAACGAUGUGGGAAGGCCCAGACAGCCAGGAUGUUGGCUUAGAAGCAGCCAUCAUUUAAAGAAAGCGUAAUAGCUCACUGGUCGAGUCGGCCUGCGCGGAAGAUGUAACGGGGCUAAACCAUGCACCGAAGCUGCGGCAGCGACACUAUGUGUUGUUGGGUAGGGGAGCGUUCUGUAAGCCUGUGAAGGUGUGCUGUGAGGCAUGCUGGAGGUAUCAGAAGUGCGAAUGCUGACAUAAGUAACGAUAAAGCGGGUGAAAAGCCCGCUCGCCGGAAGACCAAGGGUUCCUGUCCAACGUUAAUCGGGGCAGGGUGAGUCGACCCCUAAGGCG
rnacentral:rRNA from 1 species